GUGCUCUCUUUGGCAGCACAUAUUACUAAAAUUGGAAUGAUGCAAAGAAGAUUAGCAUGACCACUGUGCAAGGAUAAUGUGCAAAUUUUUGAAACAUUCCAUAUUUAA
ensembl:snRNA U6 U6 spliceosomal RNA